rnacentral:RNase_P_RNA from 1 species
GAGGAAAGUCCGAGCUACAAAGGGCAGAGUGCCGGAUAACGUCCGGGGGGCGCGAGCCUACGACCAGUGCAACAGAGAGCAGACCGCCGCGUAAGCGGUAAGGGUGAAAGGGUGCGGUAAGAGCGCACCGUGCCGCUGGUAACAGUGUGCAGCAGGGUAAACUCCACUCGUAGCAAGACCAAAUAGGGAUCCAAUGGGUGGCCCGCCCAGGAUUCGGGUAGGUUGCUUGAGCGGCGAAGCAAUUCGUCGCCUAGAUGAAUGAUUGUCCACGACAGAACUCGGCUUA